UACGUAGGUGGCGAGCGUUGUCCGGAUUUACUGGGCGUAAAGAGCGCGCAGGCGGUCGUUCAAGUCGCGUGUGAAAGCCCCCGGCUCAACUGGGGAGGGUCACGCGAUACUGAUCGACUCGAAGGCAGGAGAGGGUAGUGGAAUUCCCGGUGUAGUGGUGAAAUGCGUAGAUAUCGGGAGGAACACCGGUGGCGAAGGCGCUCAUCUGGCCCAAUACUGACGCUGAGGCGCGAAAGCUAGGGGAGCAAACGGG
rnacentral:rRNA from 1 species